GGAGAGGAAAGCGGAAUUCCUAGUGUAGCGGUGAAAUGCGUAGAUAUUAGGAGGAACACCAGCGGCGAAGGCGGCUUUCUGGACAAUAACUGACGCUGAGGCGCGAAAGCGUGGGGAGCAAACAGGAUUAGAUACCCUGGUAGUCCACGCUGUAAACGAUGGAUACUAGGUGUAGGGGGUGUCGACUCCCCCUGUGCCGCAGCUAACGCAAUAAGUAUCCCACCUGGGGAGUACGACCGCAAGGUUGAAACUCAAAGGAAUUGACGGGGGCCCGCACAAGCAGUGGAGUAUGUGGUUUAAUUCGAAGCAACGCGAAGAACCUUACCAGGGCUUGACAUACUGAUGACCGGUUUAGAGAUAGACCUUUCCUUCGGGACAUCAGAUACACAGGUGGUGCAUGGUUGUCGUCAGCUCGUGUCGUGAGAUGUUGGGUUAAGUCCCGCAACGAGCGCAACCCCUAUUGUUAGUUGCCAUCAUUAAGUUGGGCACUCUAGCGAGACUGCCGGUGAUAAAUCGGAGGAAGGUGGGGAUGACGUCAAAUCAUCAUGCCCCUUAUGUCCUGGGCUACACACGUACUACAAUGGCUAAUACAGCGCGAAGCAAUACUGUGAAGUGGAGCGAAUCGCGAAAAUUAGUCUCAGUUCGGAUUGUAGGCUGCAACUCGCCUACAUGAAGUCGGAAUUGCUAGUAAUGGCAGGUCAGCAUACUGCCGUGAAUACGUUCCCGGGUCUUGUACACACCGCCCGUCACACCAUGAGAGUUUGCAACACCCGAAGUCAGUAGACUAACCGUAAGGAGGUCGCUGCCGAAGGUGGGGUAGAUGAUUAGGGUGAAGUCGUAACAAGGUAGCCGUAUCGGAAGGUGCGGCUG
rnacentral:rRNA from 1 species